rnacentral:rRNA from 1 species
UACGUAGGGUGCAAGCGUUAAUCGGAAUUACUGGGCAUAAAGCGUGCGCAGGCGGUGAUGUAAGACAGAUGUGAAAUCCCGGGCUCAACCUGGGAACUGCAUUUGUGACUGCAUCGCUGGAGUGCGGCAGAGGGGAUGGAAUUCCGCGUGUAGCAGUGAAAUGCGUAGAUAUGCGGAGGAACACCGAUGGCGAAGGCAAUCCCUGGGCCUGCACUGACGCUCAUGCACGAAAGCGUGGGGAGCAAACAGG